rnacentral:tRNA from 1 species
GUCCUCGUAGUUCAGUGGAAGAACAGCCCCCUCCUAAGGGGCAGACACAGGUUCAAUUCCUGUCGAGGAUACCA